rnacentral:misc_RNA from 1 species
GAUUUAGCUUCUCUUGCAAGAAUAAGUGGGGAACCCGAAUAACACCAAUAGUGCAAUUGCCUGAUAAAUCAUUUACUUUGGACCUUGCUCAAUCAUUAGCUUGGAAGAGAUCAGGUCUUCUGGUGAAACCAACUCUCCAAUGCAGUUUGAGUCCCACUUUUGGUGGAAGCAAUCCUGGGUUUCGUGCUGAAAUUGUUCAUUCAGUGAAGAAACAUCUCAAUCUCAUGUGCGGCUGUUCUUUCAUUGCCCACCCUUCUGCAUUUGCUUCAAUUUCUAUUGGCAGGUCGAAGUGGAACGGAA